CAGCAGCCGCGGUAAUACCGAGGGUGCAAGCGUUAAUCGGAAUUACUGGGCGUAAAGCGCGCGUAGGUGGUUUGUUAAGUUGGAUGUGAAAUCCCCGGGCUCAACCUGGGAACUGCAUCCAAAACUGGCAAGCUAGAGUAUGGUAGAGGGUGGUGGAAUUUCCUGUGUAGCGGUGAAAUGCGUAGAUAUAGGAAGGAACACCAGUGGCGAAGGCGACCACCUGGACUGAUACUGACACUGAGGUGCGAAAGCGUGGGGAGCAAACAGGAUUAGAUACCCCUGUAGUCCCUGUCUCUUAUAC
rnacentral:rRNA from 1 species